rnacentral:rRNA from 1 species
UACGAAGGGGGCUAGCGUUGCUCGGAAUCACUGGGCGUAAAGCGCACGUAGGCCGAUUGUUAAGUCAGGGGUGAAAUCCUGGAGCUCAACUCCAGAACUGCCUUUGAUACUGAGGAUCUUGAGUUCGGGAGAGGUGAGUGGAACUGCGAGUGUAGAGGUGAAAUUCGUAGAUAUUCGCAAGAACACCAGUGGCGAAGGCGGCUCACUGGCCCGAUACUGACGCUGAGGCACGAAAGCGUGGGGAGCAAACAGGG